rnacentral:snRNA from 1 species
GUGCUUGCUUCAGCAGCACAUAUACUAAAAUUGGAAUGAUACAGAGAAGAUUAGCAUGGCCCCUGUUCGAGGAUGACACAAAUUUGUGAAGUGUUCCAUUUUUUA